GCGGGCGUGGUGUAAAGGUCUGCACGUCAGCCUUCCAAGCUGAAAGAGACGAGUUCAAUUCUCGCCGCCCGCU
rnacentral:tRNA from 1 species